rnacentral:rRNA from 1 species
UACGUAGGGUGCGAGCGUUAAUCGGAAUUACUGGGCGUAAAGCGUGCGCAGGCGGUCUUGUAAGACAGGUGUGAAAUCCCCGGGCUCAACCUGGGAAUUGCAUUUGUGACUGCAAGGCUGGAGUGCGGCAGAGGGGGAUGGAAUUCCGCGUGUAGCAGUGAAAUGCGUAGAUAUGCGGAGGAACACCGAUGGCGAAGGCAAUCCCCUGGGCCUGCACUGACGCUCAUGCACGAAAGCGUGGGGAGCAAACAGG